UUUGUUUGCUGUAUAUUACUCUAUUUUUCUUGGGUUUGUUUGUCUCUUCUUGGUUCAAGUUGAAAGGGACAGUUUACUCUUGAUAUUUUCCGCUGCUACCCUGUCAGGCUCUUUGAUUGUGUGCCUGUCUUUCCUAACAUUUAAGUCCUUGUGAUAUUGCAGAGAAUGAAAUGGAAGUCAAACCAUUUAACAAACUUAAGAUGAAUUACUAUAGGACAAUGCAGAGCGAUAUCACAAGAAAUAAUAUGCUUUUGAAUGUAUACUCGAAAAUCCAUCUGACUUUUGAAGGUGAAGACAAUUAUGAAAUUCCAUAUGCUUAUGGAAUGGGACUUAUUUCUUAUGAACUCUAUGAGGUUGAAUUUUCUUUGGUGUUAUAUCUGUACAUUGUCAUUAACUUUACUCACACUUAAUGGGCGUGAAGUUCGUUGAUUAGGGUAGAAGGUUAGUAGGUGGUGGAACGUUUUCUUGCUUUUCGACAGGUUUAGGCUUGGUGAUGUCUAUUGUAGUAUUAACCUUAUUAUGGUAGUGCCUUACUUUUGAUUUUUGUUAAUCAUCCGUUGUUUAUGGUAUAUUGGUUAUUGCACUUUUUUUUUUU